rnacentral:lncRNA from 1 species
UCUAGAUGGUAUGGAUGACUACGGUAGCAGGACCUAAAAAAAAAAAAGAAAAGGGGGGAAGAAAAGAUAUUUUUUUUAAAUUUUUUUUGACAUUUUUAUUAUAUUUUUUUCUUUUUUCUUCUUUCUUUUUUUUCUUUACCUGUUGAUUAGAUAGCGGAUUGGAUGAAGCGGCUCGGCAAUCUCUACUCCUUUCCGCAUCUCGGCGAUCUCUCCUCCUUUCCGCGGCUCGGCGAUCUCUUAUCCUUUGAAUAUUAUCUCCCCUCUUUUUAUCGUAAUCUCUCUCUCUAUUGCUAUCGUCUCUCCCUAUGUAUUUGUUCUCUCCCCCUUUUUUUUAUCGUCGUCCGUAUUGAUUUUUAUUCUCAUAUUUAUAAUAGAAGAGGCGGCGAGAGAUAUUUUGAGGAGUCGGUUAGGGAUUCAAAUUUUGAAUCGGUUGUUGAAUGGUUGGAAGAUAUUUUGGGGGUUGGUUGGGGAUUCGAAAUUCAAAAUCAAAUUUUGAGUUGGUUGUUGGAUGGAUAGGUAUUCAAAAUUUGAAUGAAUGUGGUUGGUUGGGAGAUUUUUGGGAGUUGGCUGGGAAUUCGAAAUUCGAAAUCGAAUUUUGAAUCGGUUGUGAUUUGUUUGAAGUUGUUUUGGGAGUUGGUUGGGAAUUCGAAAUCAAAAAUUGAAUUUUGAAUCGGUUGUGAUUUGAAAUCGAAUUUCAAAUGGGGUUGUUAGGAUAACAGAUAUUUUCUAGGGUGUGGAUAUGGGCCGUCAUUGAUCUGGCCCCACUUUAAUGAAAUUUAUUGGGCACAAAUAAUAAUAAUCAAUGGGCUGAAAUGAGACCCAAAUUAUUGUAUAGGUCUAAAAUUUUAAAGGGCUUUAAUGAGGCCCACCAACUCGCAUCCAUAAAUAGGCCUAUUGUGAAUUAUAAUUAUUGG